rnacentral:rRNA from 1 species
GACGAAGGAUGCAAGCGUUAUCCGGAUUCAUUGGGUUUAAAGGGAGCGUAGGUGGCCUUAUAAGUCAGUGGUGAAAUCUCAGGGCUUAACCCAGAAAUUGCCAUUGAUACUGUAGGGCUUGAGUAUAGUUGCCGUUGGCGGAAUAUGACAUGUAGUGGUGAAAUACAUAGAGAUGUCAUAGAACACCGAUUGCGAAGGCAGCUGACGAAACUAUAACUGACACUGAGGCUCGAAAGUGCGGGGAUCAAACAGG